GAGUGUUAUAGCUCUUUUCGUUUGUCUAGCAGGUUUUUUUGGAUUUUACCAGAAAGCCUGC
ensembl:snRNA U7 U7 small nuclear RNA